GAUGAAGAACGUAGCGAAAUGCGAUAAGUAAUGUGAAUUGCAGAAUUCAGUGAAUCAUCGAAUCUUUGAACGCACAUUGCGCCCAUUAGUAUUCUAGUGGGCAUGCCUGUUCGAGCGUCAUUUCAACCCUUAAGCCUAGCUUAGUAUUGGGAAUCGACUUUACUGUCGUUCCUCAAAUUUAACGGCGGAUUUAUAGCAAUCUCUGAACGUAGUAAUUUUUUUCCUCGUUUUUGAAAUACUAUAAACCUCAGCCGCUAAACCCCCAAUUUUUUUAUGGUUGACCUCGGAUCAGGUAGGAAUACCCGCUGAACUUAAGCAUAUCAAUAAGCGGAGGA
rnacentral:misc_RNA from 1 species